CGCCGAGCACCGCUGCCCUGCCCUUGGCCAUUUGUAUUGUGAUCAAUGCCCACAUCUCUCCCGCGGAUUGCGCUUGUUUUCAUCAACCACACUGUGUGUAUACCGACCAUGCCCGGACGGGAGCAGCGGGGCUGACGCUGUCUUGGGGCGUGGUCAUGUUCAUAUGUUAUUGGAGCAGAAUUAGGACAUUCAGCCCAUCAUGUCUACCCUGCCACUCAAUUAUGGCCGAUCUAUCUCUCCCUCCGAUCCCAUUGUCCUGCCUUCUCCCCAUAAUUACUGACACCCGUACUAAUCAAGAAUUUAACUGCCUUAACGUGGCCUCCACAGCCUUCUGUGGCAUAAUCCCACAGAUUCACCACCCUCAGUCUGACUAGUGAAAUUCCUCCUCAUCUCCUUCCCAAAGGAACGUCCUUUAAUUCUGAGAUUAUGACCUCUAGUCCUUGACUCUCCCACUAGUGGGGCGGGAGGCAGAGACGCCAGGCGACAUUACUCUUGAUCGGCAGCACCUAUAGUUUAAUAGACAAGGACCUGGGUGUCGCUGGAUCCUCCAUGAACUGCUGUAAUAUUGGUAGAAGAGAGCUCACAACAACUAGUCUUUCCUCCAGUCUUUCCAUCGCCUUUGGAAAAUUGUAUUUUUGUUUAUCAACAUGAGGACCAAAGUUUUGGCAAUGAAAGUCAAAGAAGCCAUUGUGAGACAGAAAAAAAAGAAUAAAGAGCCUGUCCCACUUAGGUGAUUUUUCUGGUGACUGCCGGCGACUCUCCUAGUCGUAGCAGGUCACUGAAAAACCGGCGACUGGAGCCCCCUACGAUAAUGUCUACGACAAGCUACAGCAACCUACCACCUAAUCAACGGCAAGCUACUGACAACUGGCAACCCAAUCGGCGCGACUUAAGACGUCCACCUACGACCACACCUACGAUAACCUACGUCCACCCGCGACAAGCUACCAUCCUGUCAGCGACAACUGAAGACAUGUGACGUCAUUUUGGCCUCUAAAAUAAUGGAAUCACCCAGUUUUUCUAUAAAAUGCACAUCCUCCCAAAAUUUUUUUUUUAAAUUUUCUUAAUGCAGUAUAGUGCUUGUGUUUGUUUUAUUGAUCAAAAUAUAUGAAAAGAGGUUGCUUUUCAAUGCAGUUCAAUGCUUGUGUUUGUUUUAUUGAUCAAAAAAUAUGAAAUUUAAAUAUUUGAAAGUAAUGCCAUGAGACACUAUUCUGAAAUAUAUCUUUAUAGAUAUUAAGAUUUUC